rfam:Oxobacter pfennigii strain DSM 3222 OXPF_contig000036, whole genome shotgun sequence.
GGUCAAGCUAGAAAGGGCACACGGAGGAUGCCUUGGCACCAGGAGCCGAUGAAGGACGUGAUAAGCUGCGAUAAGCUUCGGGUAGGUGCAAAUAACCUAUGAACCGGAGAUUUCCGAAUGGGGAAACCCAACCGUUUGGUUACUGUAUAGUGAAUAAAUAGCUAUGCAGAGGUAAACCCGGGGAACUGAAACAUCUAAGUACCCGGAGGAAGAGAAAGAAUAAUUCGAUUUUCUGAGUAGCGGCGAGCGAAAGGGAAAGAGCCCAAACCUGAGAGGGAAACUUCUCAGGGGUUGUGGACCGGCAUUUAGUAUUGAGCUUUUAGUCGAACUACCUGGAAAGGUAGGCCAUAGGAGGUAAAAGCCCUGUAGAUGAAAAGAGCAAGAUAUGAGCCGGAAUCCAGAGUACCACCGGACACGAGAAAUCUGGUGGGAAGCAGGGAGGACCACCUCCCAAGGCUAAAUACUACCUGGUGACCGAUAGAGGAGAAGUACCGUGAGGGAAAGGUGAAAAGAACCCCGGGAGGGGAGUGAAAGAGAACCUGAAACCGUGUGCUUACAAGCAGUUGGAGGGAGUUUAUGCCUGACAGCGUGCUUUUUGUAGAACGAGCCAGCGAGUUACGGUAUGAAGCAAGGUUAAGUACUUAAGGUACGGAGCCAAAGGGAAACCGAGUCUUAAUAGGGCGUUAAGUUUCAUGCUGUAGACCCGAAACCAGGUGACCUAUCCAUGGACAGGAUGAAGGUGAGGUAAAACUUACUGGAGGUCCGAACCCACGUGUGUUGAAAAAUGCGGGGAUGAGCUGUGGAUAGCGGAGAAAUUCCAAUCGAACUUGGAGAUAGCUGGUUCUCCCCGAAAUAGCUUUAGGGCUAGCCUUAAGAAUGAGUAUUGGAGGUAGAGCACUGAAUGGGCUAGGGGCCAAUGAGGUUACCGAACCCUAUCAAACUCCGAAUGCCAAAUACUAUAAUCUUAGGAGUCAGACUACGAGUGAUAAGAUCCGUGGUCGAAAGGGAAACAGCCCAGAUCAUCAGCUAAGGUCCCAAAGUGUAAGUUAAGUGGAAAAGGAUGUGAGGUUUCACAGACAACCAGGAUGUUGGCUUAGAAGCAGCCACACAUUAAAAGAGUGCGUAAUAGCUCACUGGUCGAGAGAUCUUGCGCCGAAGAUGUCCGGGGCUAAAACUUACCACCGAAGCUAUGGGAAUGAAAAUUCGGUAGGGGAGCUUCCUAUACGGGCAGAAGCAAUACUGUAAGGAGUUGUGGACUGUAUAGGAGUGAGAAUGCUGGCAUAAGUAGCGAGAGGCAGGUGAGAAUCCUGCCCGUCGAAGACCUAAGGUUUCCUGAGGAAGGUUCGUCCGCUCAGGGUUAGUCGGGACCUAAGGCGAGGCCGAAAGGCGUAGUUGAUGGACAAUCGGUUGAUAUUCCGAUACCACCUUUAACGAUUGAGAGAAGUAGUGACACAGCAGGAUAGUUCCAGCACACCGUUGGUUGAGUGUGCCUAAGCAUUUAGGCUGCUCUGUAGGCAAAUCCGCAGAGCAUAAGGCUGAGAUGUAAUGGGGAAGAAGGCAGCUUGCUGCCUUAAGGGAAUGAUUCCACACUGUCGAGAAAAGCUGCUAUCGAGUGAAGAGGUGCCCGUACCGCAAACCGACACAGGUAGGUGAGGAGAGAAUCCUAAGACGAACGAGAGAACCCUUGUUAAGGAACUCGGCAAAUUGACCCCGUAACUUCGGGAGAAGGGGUACCUAGAAAUAGGUCGCAGUGAAAAGGCCCAAGCGACUGUUUAGCAAAAACACAGGUCUCUGCUAAAGCGAAAGCUGAAGUAUAGGGGCUGACACCUGCCCAGUGCUGGAAGGUUAAGGGGAUGAGUUAGCGCAAGCGAAGCUUUGAACCGAAGCCCCAGUGAACGGCGGCCGUAACUAUAACGGUCCUAAGGUAGCGAAAUUCCUUGUCGGGUAAGUUCCGACCCGCACGAAUGGUGUAACGACUUGGGCACUGUCUCAACAAGGGACUCGGCGAAAUUGUAGUACCGGUGAAGAUGCCGGUUACCCGCGAUUGGACGGAAAGACCCCGUAGAGCUUUACUGUAGCUUAGCAUUGAGUUUCGGCAUUAUCUGUACAGGAUAGGUGGGAGGCAGAGAAGUAGGGUCGCCAGAUUCUAUGGAGCUAACCUUGGGAUACCACCCUGAUGAUGCUAAAAUUCUAACCGGGAUCCAUGAAGCUGGAUACGGGACAUUGCUAGGUGGGCAGUUUGACUGGGGCGGUCGCCUCCCAAAAUGUAACGGAGGCGUCCAAAGGUUCCCUCAGAGCGGUUGGAAAUCGCUCGAAGAGUAUAAAGGCAUAAGGGAGCCUGACUGCGAGACAAACAAGUCGAGCAGGGACGAAAGUCGGGCUUAGUGAUCCGGUGGUUCCGAGUGGAAGGGCCAUCGCUCAACGGAUAAAAGCUACCUCGGGGAUAACAGGCUUAUCUCCCCCAAGAGUCCAUAUCGACGGGGAGGUUUGGCACCUCGAUGUCGGCUCGUCGCAUCCUGGGGCUGAAGUAGGUCCCAAGGGUUGGGCUGUUCGCCCAUUAAAGCGGCACGCGAGCUGGGUUCAGAACGUCGUGAGACAGUUCGGUCCCUAUCCGUCGCGGGCGCAGGAAAUUUGAAGGGAGCUGUCCUUAGUACGAGAGGACCGGGAUGGACAGACCUAUGGUGUACCAGUUGUCCUGCCAAGGGCACGGCUGGGUAGCUAUGUCUGGAAUUGAUAAGCGCUGAAAGCAUCUAAGUGCGAAACAAACCCUAAGAUAAGAUUUCCCAUGGAGUAGUCCAGUAAGACCCCUGAAAGAACAUCAGGUUGAUAGGCUGUGGGUGUAAGUGCAGUAAUGCAUUGAGCUUUGCAGUACUAAUUGGUCGAGGGCUUGACCUA